rnacentral:rRNA from 1 species
GAAACCAACUGGGAUUACCUUAGUAACGGCGAGUGAAGCGGUAAAAGCUCAAAUUUGAAAUCUGGUACUUUCAGUGCCCGAGUUGUAAUUUGUAGAAUUUGUCUUUGAUUAGGUCCUUGUCUAUGUUCCUUGGAACAGGACGUCAUAGAGGGUGAGAAUCCCGUUUGGCGAGGAUACCUUUUCUCUGUAAGACUUUUUCGAAGAGUCGAGUUGUUUGGGAAUGCAGCUCAAAGUGGGUGGUAAAUUCCAUCUAAAGCUAAAUAUUGGCGAGAGACCGAUAGCGAACAAGUACAGUGAUGGAAAGAUGAAAAGAACUUUGAAAAGAGAGUGAAAAAGUACGUGAAAUUGUUGAAAGGGAAGGGCAUUUGAUCAGACAUGGUGUUUUUGCAUGCACUCGCCUCUCGUGGGCUUGGGCCUCUCAAAAAUUUCACUGGGCCAACAUCAAUUCUGGCAGCAGGAUAAAUCAUUAAGAAUGUAGCUACUUCGGUAGUGUUAUAGCUUUUUGGAAUACUGUUAGCCGGGUA